GUGAAAUUUCAGUCCGUUCCGAUCGGAUGCACUGUCUGUCUGCGUUUGUGUACGCCAGUGCCUGUCUGUGUACAAUAAACUGUAAGGCAGCAUCUCGUCCAGAUCCGGAACUGUUUGGGGUCUAAGUGGGGAUUUAUGAACCGCUCUCUAACUGGGACACUCUCCUCUCCAGGCCAGCUGCUCGGAUUAAAGAGUUGCAGCUCCAGAUAUUGGGAACAACACGCCGUGGGCCGUGCUGCUCUCUGUCUGAACACUGAGUCCCGGCCUCCUCUUCCCCCUGCUCUCUGAGGAGCUGUGUGGUGUUUCUCACUGGAAUGAAGCCUAUAAGUGUGAAGCACUAUCAAGCUAACCAGCCAGCAACUGUGUUUCCUGUCUUAUUGCCUCAUUAAUAUGCAAU